UACGUAGGGUGCAAGCGUUGUCCGGAAUUAUUGGGCGUAAAGAGCUCGUAGGCGGUUUGUUGCGUCGGCUGUGAAAUCCCGAGGCUCAACCUCGGGUCUGCAGUCGAUACGAGCAAACUAGAGUGUUGCAGGGGAGACUGGAAUUCCUGGUGUAGCGGUGAAAUGACGCAGAUAUCAGGAGGAACACCGGUGGCGAAGGCGGGUCUCUGGGCCGAUACUGACGCUGAGGAGCGAAAGCGUGGGGAGCAAACAGG
rnacentral:rRNA from 1 species